rnacentral:rRNA from 1 species
GAUGAACGCUGGCGGCGUGCUUAACACAUGCAAGUCGAACGAUUGAAGCUGGAGCUUGCUCCGGCCGAUUUAGUGGCGGACGGGUGAGUAACGCGUGGGUAACCUGCCUCAUACAGGGGGAUAGCAGUUGGAAACGACUGGUAAAACCGCAUAAGCGCACGGUGUCGCAUGACACAGUGUGAAAACACUCCGGUGGUAUGAGAUGGACCCGCGUCUGAUUAGCUAGUUGGUGAGGUAACGGCCCACCAAGGCGACGAUCAGUAGACCGGCCUGACGAGGGUGAACGGCCACAUUGGGACUGAGACACGGCCAAACUCCUACGGGAGGCA